GACUGCUAUGGAGUCUGAGAAAAAAUGUCAAAGGUAGUGCCAAAAUUGUCACUUAAAGAACUGCAGGAAUGGAGUUGGCAUUUACAGAAUUUGGAAGAGAAGCAGGUUUAGUGAUAAAGACCAGAAGCACAGAGCUAAGCAUAUUAAAUAUUGAGGACAUGAAGAGGAAAGAACUGACAGAGGAGGUGAAGAAAGGUGAUCAGGAAGAGCCAUCAAAGUGUUAUCCUGGAAUUCAAGUGAAGACAGUGUUUCAAAGUGGAAAUGAACAGUGUCCUGUAACCCUCAGAGUGAGACUAGAGUCAGAAUGCAGGCUUUUCUCAUUUGAAAUCUAUUGAAUAAACAUCAGUAAAAGAAGCAAUCCAAGUUCUCAUGCCAAAUAUGUAUAUGUCCAAGACCAGGAUUUCUUCAUGUCUGAAUGUGGAUAUGGAGCCUAGAGUACUAGAGUGAUUGUGCUACCAAGGCCUGAAACUUCGGAAAAACCUGCAUAACACAAAAUAUAAAAUAUGCCACAGAGAGGAUCCAGAGAGCCCAUCUCCGGUCAGUUAUCUGUAUUUGUAUGUCAACUACAGCAUCAAAAAGCAUAGGCAUGGAUACUAAGGACCCCCUCUGUACACCAACGCCAGUCCAAAGGACAGUGUGUCACUGUGAACUGGAAAUUCAUCUCUCUUCUUCAAUUUUUUUCUACCUACUUUAUGCUUUAUCUCUAAGUUGAGGCUGUUUAUGGCCUCAUCCUCAAUUACCUUGUCCCUC
ensembl:lncRNA LINC02790 long intergenic non-protein coding RNA 2790